rnacentral:misc_RNA from 1 species
GAUGAAGAACGCAGCGAAAUGCGAUACGUAAUGUGAAUUGCAGAAUUCAAUGAAUCAUCGAAUCUUUGAACGCACAUUGCACUCCUUGGUAUUCCGAGGAGUAUGCCUGUUUCAGUAUCAUGAGCACUCUCACAUCUAACCUUUGGGUUAAAAUGUGGAAUUGGGAUGCGCCGGUUAUUAUAACGGCCCUCCUAAAAUUCAGUUCUUGGCUGCUUCCUACUACAGCAGUUUGGCCUAAUAGUUUUGAGUCUUCGAUUCAAAUCUUUGGCUAACAUUUGCUUCAGGAUGUCAGUCUUGAUAUACAGAAAUCUCAUUCAAACUUUGAUCUGAAAUCAGGUAGGGCUACCCGCUGAACUUAAGCAUAUCAAUAAGCGGAGGA